UCCCCUUCUCGUUCAUUCAUGGUGAGCUCCUCCUUGUUCUUCAGCAGCUCAAACAGGCACAUGUCCCCUUCUUGCAGCUUAUUGUCUUUUACGAAUUUCUUCCAGCCUCUGCGCAGUGCAUUAAAUUUUCCAUGGACUUUGUCACCUACAUAGAGCUUGGCUUUCCAAGUGUCGUUCUUCCCGGGCAGUCGAAGCCUCAUUGUCUGGUCCUCACGUGGAAGAUGGCAGUCAGCGUAUCCCUGUUCAAUGUACUGAGUUUGUUCGUUGCACAUUCACAAGGCAGGAUGGUAAGUUGUCAAAAUGACUUGAGUCCAUUAUCUAGAAAGAGGAAACUGCAUGGAUCGAGCAGAACUUACCAGGCUGUAAGCCUGUAGCUGCUUCUCUGCAAGACUGACACAAAUAUUUUGAUUUCAGGCUGAAUGGCCUGGAUUCUCUCUUCAAUUUUUCUCUUCUGCUUGCGAGUCAGUUUGAUGCUUCUUGCAACCACAUAUCCUGGGUGAGUCCAUUUCUUCUUGUGCUGGCUAGCUGGUUUGGCGUGUCCUGUUAUGACAUACUCUGAGUGACCGCUUUCUUUAAGUGGAUGGACUGUUAUCAUCACUCUACUGUCGUUCUUUGACACUUCGAAUGCGCAGAUAUCGCCUUCCCGCAAGUUGUUGUCGCGUACGAAGCCCAGCCAACCAGCAGUAAGGAUGCAUGAAAGGGUGCAUGCGCCAUCACUGAUAACCGCCAAAUUGGCAUCCCAUGUUUUGCUAUUCUGAGGAUGACAGUUUGAUCAUCUGGUCUUGAUGCGGAAGGUGUUUGACAGCAUAGUCCUUGCAGAUGACCUGUUACAAAUGAAUGAACUAGCUGGUGAAUUAUGUCAACACCAUAAGUUGCAGAGCACUAGUGUAUCAACACAAAUAUUCUAGUGUUCAUUCAAAAAUAAUUGAAGAAUGGUGUAACAAACGCUAUCUGAGUCGUCGCUCUAGAAGAUAUUGUGAUUCUGUAAACGUACCAGAUAUCCAUCAGACAGAGUUUUCUCGUUCAUUG
rnacentral:lncRNA from 1 species